AUUGAACGCUGGCGGAAUGCUUUACACAUGCAAGUCGAACGGCAGCACGGGGGCAACCCUGGUGGCGAGUGGCGAACGGGUGAGUAAUACAUCGGAACGUGCCCGGUCGUGGGGGAUAACGUAGCGAAAGUUACGCUAAUACCGCAUACGAUCUGAGGAUGAAAGCGGGGGACCUUCGGGCCUCGCGCGAUCGGAGCGGCCGAUGUCAGAUUAGGUAGUUGGUGGGGUAAAGGCCUACCAAGCCGACGAUCUGUAGCUGGUCUGAGAGGACGACCAGCCACACUGGGACUGAGACACGGCCCAGACUCCUACGGGAGGCAGCAGUGGGGAAUUUUGGACAAUGGGCGCAAGCCUGAUCCAGCCAUUCCGCGUGCAGGACGAAGGCCUUCGGGUUGUAAACUGCUUUUGUAUGGAACGAAAAGGCUCUGGCUAAUACCUGGGGCUCAUGACGGUACCGUAAGAAUAAGCACCGGCUAACUACAUG
rnacentral:rRNA from 1 species